rnacentral:rRNA from 1 species
CCUACGGGAGGCAGCAGUGAGGAAUAUUGGUCAAUGGGCGCGAGCCUGAACCAGCCAAGUAGCGUGAAGGAUGAAUGCCCUACGGGUUGUAAACUUCUUUUAUAAAGGAAUAAAGUGAGGCACGUGUGCCUUUUUGUAUGUACUUUAUGAAUAAGGAUCGGCUAACUCCGUGCCAGCAGCCGCGGUAAUACGGAGGAUCCGAGCGUUAUCCGGAUUUAUUGGGUUUAAAGGGAGCGUAGAUGGGUUGUUAAGUCAGUUGUGAAAGUCUGCGGCUCAACCGUAAAAUUGCAAUUGAUACUGGCAGGCUAGAGUACAGUUGAGGGAGGCAGAAUUCGAGGUGUAGCGGUGAAAUGCGUAGAGAUCACGAAGAACUCCGAUUGCGAAGGCAGCUUACUAAACUGCCACUGACAUUGAGGCGCGAAAGUGUGGGUAGCAAACAGGAUUAGAUACCCGGGUAGUC